AGAAAAACAUAAGAGCUUUUGUUGAUCAAGUUUAUAUAAAGUAUAUUAAUUUUCGUUUUGUACUAUGAACUUCACAACAUAUGUACGUCAGUCCAAGUUUUUCUUCAACUCAGGUACUUUCGCAAGUAUUGGUGGCUUAAUUUUCAAUUAACCCCUUCAACUAAAAAAAAUAAAAAAUUCAAUCAAUCUUUGUUGGGGACUUUUAGGUUGAGCUGGACUUGGGAUUUAAGGGCAUCCUCUUGUCUCCCUUGAUUCAAUUUCGUACCAAGUCCUGGAAUAUCUUGAAAGAAAUAGCAUGUCUUAAGAAAUAUCCAGGUUGGACCAAUGACUCGAAGAUAGCAUGGUUAAGCAAAUAAUGGCUUGCUCAAGUAAUGCAUGGUGCGGAAGCUAGAAGUUUAUCAGUUUAACAUGAGAGAGGGAGAGAGAGUUUGCAUGCUUACAUGAAAUUCUUGGUUGGAUAAUCUGGGUUUCCUAGGGUGGUAACGUAACAAGGCUUCUAAUGGCUCGAAUGCUCAGAGGAAAAGCUAUGGAAAAUAUUAAUGACGUGUUUACGUACCUGUAAUCGAAAUCAAAUUGUGGAAUUGAAUUCCGAUUAUAGAGUAUUCCAGCGUUUACUAAAUCCUAAGGAAUUGAAAAAGUGGUGGGACCCACAAAAAUUUUGGAAUUCAAUUCCUUCUUUUGGAGGAUUUGGACUCGUGUGAUAUAUGAGGUAUUUCAAUUCCGUCUGCUGUGGGGAAUCCGGAAUACAAAUUUUGUACCACUUAUAUCCUCACUUUAUUUUUAAAAUUCCGGCACC
rnacentral:lncRNA from 1 species